UACGUAGGUGGCAAGCGUUAUCCGGAAUUAUUGGGCGUAAAGCGCGCGCAGGUGGUUUCUUAAGUCUGAUGUGAAAGCCCACGGCUCAACCGUGGAGGGUCAUUGGAAACUGGGAGGCUUGAGUGCAGAAGAGGAAAGUGGAAUUCCAUGUGUAGCGGUGAAAUGCGUAGAGAUAUGGAGGAACACCAGUGGCGAAGGCGACUUUCUGGUCUGUAACUGACACUGAGGCGCGAAAGCGUGGGGAGCAAACAGG
rnacentral:rRNA from 1 species